rnacentral:rRNA from 1 species
GAUGAACGCUGGCGGCGUGCCUAAUACAUGCAAGUCGAGCGAACAGACGAGGAGCUUGCUCCUCUGACGUUAGCGGCGGACGGGUGAGUAACACGUGGAUAACCUACCUAUAAGACUGGGAUAACUUCGGGAAACCGGAGCUAAUACCGGAUAAUAUAUUGAACCGCAUGGUUCAAUAGUGAAAGACGGUUUUGCUGUCACUUAUAGAUGGAUCCGCGCCGCAUUAGCUAGUUGGUAAGGUAACGGCUUACCAAGGCAACGAUGCGUAGCCGACCUGAGAGGGGGAUAGGCCACACUGGAACUGAGACACGGUCCAGACUCCUAAGGGAGGCAGCAGUAGGGAAUCUUCCGCAAUGGGCGAAAGCCUGACGGAGCAACGCCGCGUGAGUGAUGAAGGUCUUCGGAUCGUAAAACUCUGUUAUUAGGGAAGAACAAAUGUGUAAGUAACUAUGCACGUCUUGACGGUACCUAAUCAGAAAGCCACGGCUAACUACGUG